GACGAACGCUGGCGGCGUGCUUAACACAUGCAAGUCGAACGAUGAACUUGGAGCUUGCUCUGGGGGAUUAGUGGCGAACGGGUGAGUAACACGUGAGUAACCUGCCCUGGACUCUGGGAUAACUUCGAGAAAUCGGAGCUAAUACCGGAUAGGACCUUGCACCGCAUGGUGUGGGGUGGAAAGUUUUUCGGUGUGGGAUGGACUCGCGGCCUAUCAGCUUGUUGGUGAGGUAAUGGCUCACCAAGGCGUCGACGGGUAGCCGGCCUGAGAGGGUGACCGGCCACACUGGGACUGAGACACGGCCCAGACUCCUACGGGAGGCAGCAGUGGGGAAUAUUGCACAAUGGGCGCAAGCCUGAUGCAGCAACGCCGCGCGCGGGAUGACGGCCUUCGGGUUGUAAACCGCUUUUAGUAGGGAAGAAGCCUUCGGGUGACGGUACCUGCAGAAAAAGGACCGGCUAACUACGUGCCAGCCGCCGCCGUAAAAC
rnacentral:rRNA from 1 species